rnacentral:rRNA from 1 species
CAGCCGCCACGGGAAUACGAAGGGUGCAAGCGUUACUCGGAAUUACUGGGCGUAAAGCGUGCGUAGGUGGUGGUUUAAGUCCGUUGUGAAAGCCCUGGGCUCAACCUGGGAAUUGCAGUGGAUACUGGGUCACUAGAGUGUGGUAGAGGAUAGUGGAAUUUCCGGUGUAGCAGUGAAAUGCGUAGAGAUCGGAAGGAACAUCUGUGGCGAAGGCGACUAUCUGGGCCAACACUGACACUGAGGCACGAAAGCGUGGGGAGCAAACAGGAUUAGAUACCCCUGUAGUCCCUGUCUCUUAUAC